AUAAACAAAAUUAAAAUAAUCCCUUGCGAAAAAGCAAAACCCUAAACCCUCGCUUGCACUGUUCUGGUUCCUCCUCCGAUCUGAUCUCAUCGUCAAUGGCUUCCGCGUGCAGCAGAAUCGCGCAGCGAACAUCAAUUUCGUCCAUCAGAUCAUCCAUCAAAUCCAACAUUCGCGCUUCUUCUUCGUUCUCCAAACCAGCUUCCUCCUCUUCUCCUCUUCGCCAAUCCUUAUUGACCAGGAUUUCGGCGGAGCUGAGAUGCGCGCAGUCGAUGUUGCCGCUGCACAGCGCGGUGGCGGCGGCGAGAAUGACGUCGCGCCUGAGCGUGACUUCCAGAAGCUGCCGAGCGCUUUCUCAGGGUACUCUCUGCUGCACCUCUCCCGGCCUCUAAUACUUUCUUUUUCAAAAAUUAUUCGCAAACUGCACAUAGUUAAUUGGGAAUUUGCGGGACCAGCCAAUUUAUGGCCUACUGCUUCAUUAUCAAUUAUUUGAAGUCUGAAUGGAUUUCCUUUGGAACAAUGGCUUCCCUUUUUCUUUUGUGUUGGAAAUAAAAGUGGGAGGGAAAAUGAAGUUAGAGGAUCGAAAUUGGUGAAAUUAAUCUUGUUUAAUGCCUAUAUUCAUCAACAGUUUCCAUUUCCCAUUCUUUCCUCUCUCGUAAUGUUUAAUAAGCGAAGGAUUUAAUUAUCUUCCACGACCAAUUCUUCAUUUUCUUUUCUGCUCUGAGCUUGGUCUAUCAGUUCCCAGGUGACUAGAAGAGAGAUUGAAGAAAGCCUUGUGUUUGUAAGGUUUGAUUUAUGAUGAUUAACAUCUAUACGCAGUAAGCGGCAGUACUCACUGAUUCUUUCAGUCCGAGAAAAUGAUUUUUUGUGGAAUAAAAGAUACAUGCUCUGAUCUAUAUGUUCAUUCAUUCAUGUGGAUAGUUAGAACUGCACACUAUCAACACCUACCUCUUUCACUUGCUUUC